UACGUAGGGUCCGAGCGUUGUCCGGAAUUACUGGGCGUAAAGAGCUCGUAGGUGGUUUGUCGCGUUGUUCGUGAAAACUCACAGCUCAACUGUGGGCGUGCGGGCGAUACGGGCAGACUAGAGUACUGCAGGGGAGGCUGGAAUUCCUGGUGUAGCGGUGGAAUGCGCAGAUAUCAGGAGGAACACCGGUGGCGAAGGCGGGUCUCUGGGCCGAUACUGACGCUGAGGAGCGAAAGCGUGGGGAGCGAACAGG
rnacentral:rRNA from 1 species